AAAAAAAAGAUUUUAAUAUUCUGGACCCUCAGCCUCCAACAUUGGAGUGGGCCUAAUGCGAAGAUUGAGGCACUCAACAAAGGGGCCUCCAGUCCGUGCCAUCCCAGAACACUCACUGGGUCACUCCAGGCUUUGACCGCAGUGGCUGCCUCUUGUGUCUGAAGGCACCAGAAUGAAGGCUGCGUGUUGACCAGCCCCGAAGAUCUGAGCCUCUGUCCCCAGACAGGUGAUUCUGGGAUGGGCUAGGAUUGCAGGGACUUAACAAGGUGGAGUUCUCCAGAGGUUCCCUUAGCUCUGUCUCAGAGCAUCAUCAUGAUGUUAAGCUGCCUCUUUCUUCUUGCUCUUGGGUCCCUGGAAUCCUGGAUAACUGCAGGAGAACAUGUGAAAGAGGGAGAAUGCCCUCCUGAUAAGAACCUAUGCAAAGAGCUGUGCCAGGGUGAUGCAUCAUGUCUGGCUGGGCAGAAGUGCUGCACCACAGGCUGUGGUCGAAUCUGCCGAGACAUUCCUAAGGGGAGGAAAAGAGAUUGCCCUAGGGUUAUUCGGAAACAAUCCUGCUUGAAACGGUGCAUCACUGAUGAGACAUGUCCAGGUGUAAAGAAAUGCUGCACGUUUGGCUGCAGCAAGAGCUGUGUAGUCCCAAUCUCUAAACAGAAGCUGGGUAAGAAACCCUGUCCCCACAGGUUUUCUGUUUGGUCUGCUUGUUUCUUUCUCAAAUAUGCACAUAUCAACUUGUUGGUUUUACUUUGCUUUGAAUACACAAAUGUUUUCAAAGUGCCUGCUGCAUUCUGAGAACUUAAAAAAAAAGAUAUACAAAGGGUAUACAAGCCAUGAUGAUUUGUGAUAUGUGGCCUGGGCACACAGAGGAGGGUGCCAGAGGGCAGCCUUGGCUUACCAUCAUUUGUAGGCUGCUUUGAAAGCUGCUGGGUAAUUCCCAGUUCCCAUAGUUAGUUGUGAUAUUCUCUGUUAAAAUCUUAGGCUAAGAAUCUAUAGAGAUAGGAAUAAAAGGAAAGAAGAAUCUUGAUGCCUAUGGAAGGCGGCACACAUUUCCCCACUCAUU